rnacentral:tRNA from 1 species
GGGGAGGUGCCAGAGUGGACGAUUGGGGCCGCCUGCUAAGCGGUUGUCGGUGAUGAGCCGACCGCAGGUUCGAAUCCUGUCCUCCCCGCCA